rnacentral:rRNA from 1 species
AGGACGAACGCUGGCGGCGUGCUUAACGCAUGCAAGUCGAGCGGAAAGGCCCUUCGGGGUACUCGAGCGGCGAACGGGUGAGUAACACGUGAGUAAUCUGCCCCUAGCUCUGGGAUAGCUCCGGGAAACCGGGAUUAAUACCAGAUACGACCACUUUAGACAUCUGCUGUGGUGGAAAGAAUUUCGGCUAGGGAUGAGCUCGCGGCCUAUCAGCUUGUUGGUGAGGUAACGGCUCACCAAGGCGACGACGGGUA